rnacentral:rRNA from 1 species
UACAGAGGGGGCAAGCGUUGUUCGGAAUUACUGGGCGUAAAGGGCGCGUAGGCGGCCUGCUAAGUCGAACGUGAAAUCCCUGGGCUCAACCCAGGAACUGCGUCCGAUACUGGUUGGCUUGAAUCCGGGAGAGGGACGUGGAAUUCCAGGUGUAGCGGUGAAAUGCGUAGAUAUCAGGAGGAACACCAAUGGCGAAGGCAGCACUCUGGGACGUGACUGACGCUGAGGCGCGACAGCGUGGGGAGCAAACAGG